AGCUCAGUCCUAGUGCAUGAGGAUCAGCCCUAUGAUGCCGUGAUAUCAAAGAAAGAGGCAGACAGAUCUAGGAUUGCACAGAGUGCAGUUUACUGGGGGACUUACAGAUGAAAGUGGACAACAGCAAGGCCAAUCAGUGGUGGAUGAAGCAGGACAGCCUCAAAGGACAAAACAAGAUCACAGCCAAGGACACCGGGAUCCAUCUCAACCAGAGUCUGGAAAGGCAAUCCCCCAGCAGGGAAGAUGUAGGUGGGGUAAGGGGCUUUCUCCAUGGCAUCACAGGAUCACCCGCUGUGGCCAAGACUGUUCCCGUCGGAAUCCCCAGAGCCUAAAACGCAGGGCAGAAGAGGAUAUUACCUCCCAUCACAGGCACACUCUUUCCUGCCUGGGCCUGUGAAGCACACCCAUGGGGCCAAGUCACCGGCUGCCUCUCCUCUCUCCCUGUGCCUGUCCUCAGCCCAGAGCCAGACAGAUGGUCCAGAGCCUGCACCGGUCUAGCGCUGUGGAAACUCAGAGAGUGCCUCACCGUGGCACCCGGGGCCAACAAAGAAGCUGUGGACCCACAUUUCUCCUGAUACGUCAGCGUUUUCAAGUCUCUACCAACCAAGGCAGGCCUGGGGACAUCUGUGAUCCCAGCCCUCUGGGAGGCUGCACCAGGAGGAUCACAAGUUCAAGUCCAACCUGAGCA